rnacentral:misc_RNA from 1 species
UAGCCAUAGGCGUCUGUUCAGAUGAUUGAUUAAUAGUUUGAGGUGGUACCCCCCCUGUUGGAUCAAGGUUUGCACCAUUAAGACCCUUGGCCUUAGUUCUCCUCUUACGUCUAAUAGACCCAGGCACCUAUUUAUUUUAAUAAACAAGCAUUAAAGACAAGCAAAAAAGUACGAAGGACGCAGAUAUCUGAAGCAAUGAUAAACUGAAAAGACG